UACAGAGCGGGCAAGCGUUGUUCGGAAUUGCUGGGCGUAAAGGGCGCGUAGGCGGCCUUCUAAGUCGAACGUGAAAUCCCUGGGCUCAACCCAGGAACUGCGUCCGAUACUGGAAGGCUUGAAUCCGGGAGAGGGAUGCGGAAUUCCAGGUGUAGCGGUGAAAUGCGUAGAUAUCUGGAGGAACACCGGUGGCGAAGGCGGCAUCCUGGACCGGUAUUGACGCUGAGGCGCGAAAGCCAGGGGAGCAAACAGG
rnacentral:rRNA from 1 species